UAUUCGUCCAAGAUGUUCAUCGAUCAAUCAAUCGUCGCUUUGAAUUUACACAAUUUCGUUAUUUGUUUAUGAAAAUAAUCUUCAAAUCUUCUUCGUAUAACGGCUAUCUUCGAGCUCGUUGCCAACCUUUUUUCUUCUCUACACCCUGUCGUGUGUUAGUCGGCUUUAUUAGAGAGAGCUAUUUGUCCAUAACCUCUUUACUAAUACGCACUUUCUACGGCGAACAUUUCACUUUCAGCCCACAGUUUUUAUCAUUUAUUGGGCAUUGGCCUAAUAGUCUCGAAUGUGGGGAGUUUGACCCAAAGGUGCCGAAUUGAUCCCAUCAAAUAAAAAAUUUAAAAUUAAAAAAUUACAAAAAAUAAAUGUAUAAAAAUAGAAGAAAAAAGUAUGUACAAUAAAAAUUAGAAAAAAAAAAAAAAAGGGUAAUUCGAUAAUUUUUAAGUAAAUGGUUGAUGUUAAAGAAAUCAAAUAUCAAACACUAUUUUAGGUGUUGGAUAUUACCUAAUAGAAAUGCAUAAUCACAAAUUCCAAAUAUAAAAUAAUUAUAUAUUGGCAUAUAUGAUGUAACUUGUAAUCAACUCAAUCAAUCUAAAUAUUUUAAGGGAUAAUUAGCAUUUGCUCCCUUAAAAAUAUUUUAUCUCGUUGAAGUUCAUGGAUAAUUUUUAUUUACUCAAAAUUCUCUAAUUGGAUUAACCUAAUAAAAAAAUUUAGCUGAACAACCACAUUUACCCUUUAGCAGUGGUGGAGAGGGAGAGAGGAUUGGGUCCCCCAACAUUUCUCAAAUCUCUAUAAAUUUAUAUUUACGGCCCAGCCCCCCUCAUAAUUUUGUUAAUGCGUUGGCCCCUGGACUUAAAACUCUGGCUCCCCUAAUGACUUUCAUACACGCAACAAGGUUAUACGGACAACUUAGAUAGUGAGUUUACCCAGAGCGCUUAAACUGAGAAAUUAACAGUGCAUGCAUAGAUAAACUCAGUAGCAGAUAGACGAUUUAGACUAGGUGUAUAUACGAUCCCAACCCGGAAAAGUUGAGUUAGGUCGGGUCGGGUCGGGUUCGAGUUCGGAUAGUGGACAACGUUAGCACCAACAUAGUUUAAUUUCACCAUAUAUCAAAAUCCAAAUGGAGGUUUUCCAAUUUCCAACAUCAGCCACCAGCAUAAUUGAUAAUUUAAUUCCUAAGAGAAACGCAGCCCAACCAUAAAUGUAUUUGCAACUACACGCAUAGAAGAGUAAAAAUAGAGAAUAGAGAACUCACGCCGGAGAAGAAGAUAGAAAUCACUGUCAUUCGUCUCUCACCGAUGCACGCAUCGUGCCGGAAAAGAAAACCACCACCACCAC
rnacentral:lncRNA from 1 species